rnacentral:lncRNA from 1 species
ACAAAUCACACAGCAACAUUUGCAGCAGAAUUUCUUUAUUACAAAAAGUUACAAGUUACAACAAAUUUACAAUAUAUUUAUCGGAGUGAUUACAAAAGUGAUUCAAAGAAAUAUACUUUGAAAUGUUAUAAAUUAUUUAUGAUUUUGAAAUAUAUGCUAGCUCAAUGACAAUCCUCAAUAAGAAGUAUAGAAGAGCUACUUUAACCUAUAAGAAGGCCGAGCCCACUAGCACUUAGCACCAUCAACAACAGCACAAAUCUAUUACCUGCAACAACAUGGGUUCGAAAACCCUGAGUACGGAGUGUACUUUCGCAAGUCUUACACGUUUAAGGAAAAAGACUCUCAAGGAUAUGCUGGAUUUUGGGAAUCAAGGUAAAGCUUAUCAAGAUUCAAAGACUCCAUUUGUAGAAAGGCUUACUAGUAGUGGAUCCCUAUGCCAAAAUUUUACUUCACAAGUUAAGUACUUUUCCAGAAUCUAUAUUUGCCUAAUCUAGAGCAUUCACUUGUCCUAGUCUAGCUUUCUUUUACCAAAUUCUUAUUUUACUUAUUAACUACGAUGAGUGGUCAGAGGGUAGAGUCUCCAUGACUGAGGAGCAACGACGAUUCAAAUCGAUUAUUCCUAGCUGGGGAUUCCUAACCACACGACAUUUGUAGCACUUAACCCAUGCAUAUGUCAACCGUUCCCACAGAUCCUCCACAACAUGAACCGGUCCACGCUACCUGGGAGCAUAGUACUCCUCUGUCCAGCCUCUAGCCAGGAGGGUACACGCUACUCCCACCAUCUCCCAUGCUCAGUGCGUGGUUGUCUUUUCACAUAUGGAAUAGCCGAGUUCAGGCUUACCGGAGCAUGUGGCUAGUUGCAAAGUCUCCACAACAACAGGCCUACAUCGAUCAGUCCUUAAUCAACGCAGAUGGGCGAACUUUCCUGCUCAACGUCUAGUCUACAUUACAUAUUAUUUCCCAAAACUUGAUACCUGAGAGAGACACCCUACUUGAAUGAUGAAAUCAUUGCGGCUACAAUGGGUUCAUCAUCACAAGUCCUUUUAUUUCACAAACUCCCAUAUCCCGUGUUACACAUCAUCUUUAAAAAACCAUCCUAAAUUAAUAAGCAGGGCUAAGCAUCACUAAAUUUUCAUAAAACAGGUAUUAGGGUUGUUUAAUCAAGGAUGGAAAUGCAUCAACUGUUUGAUCACACAACUCCUAUCACAUAAUGCAUCAUUCAAGGUUAUAAAUUUUUGUAAACAUCAAGGAAAGAGGUGAAUGCACGGGGGCUUGCCUAGGAUAAACACUACGUUAGUGUUGUUAGAGACAUCUGGUUGGCGAACAUCCAAAAUCCUGGUACGGUCAAUACAUUCAUCUUCUGUCGACAUAGUCACUAAGAUAUCGUCGGUCCAUGCCCUUCAUCUCGCACGAUCAUUAGCGUACCUACAUGAUAUGCGAGAUGCACAUGAAUGGAUAGGAGCAUAGAUACCACAUCAACUAAAUCAAGAACCACACCACUUGUUCUAAUAAAUAGGGCCUUAUUAAACAACAUAAGAGUUUUCCCAAGAUCAUAAUUUAAACCCUACAAAUUUAAAAUACUAAGGUGGAAUGCCUACUAUGUAGUUUUCAUAUUUCUUUGAAGGGGGCUUAAGGGUAAUACAUGCUUUCAACUAAUUUGAAUAACGAUGAAUAUUUAUUCAAGACGAUUAGCUUAAGCACUCAAGCUCUAUUUAUGACUUUUAAUCAAUCAACAAAUAUAACACCCGACAAUUACUAUGGCAAGACAAUAAUGAAAUGAUAAAACAGUACAAAUAACUCUAGGCGAAUAUGUUUAUCUAACUGACAGAAUUACCAAACUUAUUCUAUAUAUUCACUAAAACACUUCUAGCAUAAUAAGCACGUCAAACUUAAAACCACAAGAACUAUCCAAACCUAGUGACCUACACAAAAGAAGUUCCAAACAACCAUUUUAAUACUUGCUGAUUUUGGACAGCAAGACAGCAACUAUUUGUUUAGCUCAUAACUCACAAGAUAUUCAUUCUAAAAUAGUAAACUAGAACUUUCUGGAAAUCUUAUGAAGUUCUCUACAACUUUGGUAUUACCAUCGGAACAAGAUUCGACAUUUAGAAAUGUCAAACAGUGCUAAACGUAAAUUAUGUCCAGAUUAGGACAGAAUUCGACUACUCACUUCAAAAAUUCAUAACUGGAGUCUCGAGCAUCUAAUUCAGGUGAUCCUAGACUUUUUCGAAAGCUAAUAGAAUUGUCUACAAUUCAUUUAUAAAUAUCUCAGGUUAAUUCAGUUCUUAUCAAGGUCAAAAGACAUGAGAAAGGCUAUGCUGUCUAAAUUUGGACAGAUUCAGAGUUCACACUUUAAACAGUUAUAACUUAACUUAUAGAUCAUCAAAAAGGGUGAUCUAAGACUUUUUGGAAAGAUUAAAAACAGUACUACAAUUCUUCUAUAAUUAGUAAGGGCUGAUUCUCAGUUUAAUUUAGUCAAACAAAGCAAUUUUCGAAAUCAGUACAGAAUUUGGACAGAUUCAGGUACUGGAAUUUGAAAAAUCAUAACUCUUAAACUACUUAACCUAUGGUCAUUUAAUUUUUACACAAACAAGAUAAAGAAGUUGGCUACAACUUUUGUAUAUAACAUUUCUACAUAAAAUAUGGUUUACUUCAUUGAACUAGCUGUAUAACUAAAACUGUACCUGCAGCCCUAAACAGUAAUACAUUCAGUUUAACUCCUAUUUGGCUUCUAAAAUUAUCUAUGUUCUUGACGCUUACUAACGCAAGGCAUUAAUGAUACUACACAAUUGAAAUUUAUACAAAUAACACUAAUAGUUCUUAUCGGCUACACAAUUUAAAAUGCUAGUCCUACUUCUCGCAUUAUUAAUUAAAUCUCACCUAGCACAUAAGUCUAAGAACACAUGGCGCGACUACUAUAUAUUCACGAAAACAAUUACAACACCAUAUGAGAGGAAACAUUUCUGCAACACAUUAUGAGCAACAUAUAACACAAAGGAAAAGAGAAAGAUAUCAUUCGCUGAGCAUCGCCACAAUAUAACUAACCAAUCCAACUAAUAGUAAAAACAAAUCAGCUCACCAUAAUCGAAUCGACUCGAUAUAUGUAAGAACGGCGACAGUUCCUUGGUUCUAUUUCGUCGAACACCUAGAGCGCACCGAACUGAGACAUGUUUCCUUCAUCGAUUCAGUCACUUCAUCGAACAUAAGGGAUGCAAGCUAGCAGAGACAGCGGGGGGCUCACUGGCAUGGACGACGUUGUGGCCUGGGCGAGCACAUGGGGAGCAACGUCGGCAUGGGGAGGCAUGGCCGACGGCGCACAGCCGGAGUUGACGACACCGGAGCUGAGAGGGGCAGGGCCGGUGGGCUAACGGAGCUGGCGAGCAUUGGCACGGUUGGAGAAGGAGCAGGGCUUAGAGGCCUUGUGCCAUAGAGCUUGGCUACCGGCGAGCUGAUGCAGGGCGCUGGGAGCUCGAGCACAGGGAGCAGCUCGGCUACCGGCAAAGACCAAGCGCAGACGAGCUGAACAUCUACAGGGAGCCGUGACUUCAGAAACAGAGAAAAAAUGGCAUAAGAAAACAGAUGAGCUGUGUUCCUAGGAAACUAGUGGAUAACGCCUAUGAGAUGAAAGAUGUGGCUGGUAGAAAAUCCUAGGCUUUCUACGUGGAGGUGGAGGAGAUAAAGGAAUGUAUACCGGAAUUUCUAGAGCUAGUACGUGGAGGAG